AUUGAACGCUGGCGGCAUGCUUUACACAUGCAAGUCGAACGGUAACAGGCCGCAAGGUGCUGACGAGUGGCGAACGGGUGAGUAAUGCAUCGGAACGUGCCCAGUCGUGGGGGAUAACGCAGCGAAAGCUGUGCUAAUACCGCAUACGAUCUAUGGAUGAAAGCGGGGGACCGUAAGGCCUCGCGCGAUUGGAGCGGCCGAUGUCAGAUUAGGUAGUUGGUGGGGUAAAGGCUCACCUAGCCAACGAUCUGUAGCUGGUCUGAGAGGACGACCGCCCACACGGGGACGGAGACACGGCCCGGACUCCUCCGGGAGGCAGCAGUGGGGAAUUUUGGACAAGGGGCGCAAGCCUGAUCCAGCAAUGCCGCGUGCAGGAAGAAGGCCUUCGGGUUGUAAACUGCUUUUGUACGGAACGAAAAGGUUUGGGUUAAUACCCUGGGCCGAUGACGGUACCGUAAGAAUAAGCACCGGCUAACUACGUGCCAGCAGCCGCCGUAA
rnacentral:rRNA from 1 species